rnacentral:rRNA from 1 species
CCUACGGGAGGCAGCAGUGGGGAAUAUUGCACAAUGGGCGCAAGCCUGAUGCAGCAACGCCGCGUGAGGGACGACGGCCUUCGGGUUGUAAACCUCUUUUAGUAGGGAAGAAGCGAAAGUGACGGUACCUGCAGAAAAAGCACCGGCUAACUACGUGCCAGCAGCCGCGGUAAUACGUAGGGUGCAAGCGUUGUCCGGAAUUAUUGGGCGUAAAGAGCUCGUAGGCGGUUUGUCGCGUCUGCUGUGAAAACCCCGAGGCUCAACCUCGGGCCUGCAGUGGGUACGGGCAGACUAGAGUGCGGUAGGGGGGAUUGGAAUUCCUGGUGUAGCGGUGGAAUGCGCAGAUAUCAGGAGGAACACCGAUGGCGAAGGCAGAUCUCUGGGCCGUAACUGACGCUGAGGAGCGAAAGCAUGGGGAGCGAACAGGAUUAGAUACCCUGGUAGUCCAUGCCGUAAACGUUGGGAACUAGAUGUAGGGACCAUUCCACGGUUUCUGUGUCGCNGCUACGACAUUACGUUACCCGUCCGUCGGGUAGGUACGGCCGCGACGACGUAAACUACAAAGAAGUUAGACGGCGUGAGACGUGCCGACGACGACGACGAGGGAGGUAGG